rnacentral:rRNA from 1 species
UAAUACGUAGGGGGCGAGCGUUGCUCGGAAUUACUGGGCGUAAAGGGUGUGUAGGUGGCUGAGUAAGUCAAAGAUGAAAUCCCGAAGCUCAACUUCGGAAUUGUCUUUGAAACUGUUCAGCUUGAGGAUAGUUGAGGAGAACGGAACUCCCGGUGGAGCGGUGAAAUGCGUAGAUAUCGGGAAGAACACCUGAGGCGAAGGCGGUUCUCUAAGCUAUUCCUGACACUGAGACACGAAAGCUAGGGGAGCAAACGGGAUUAGAUACCCCGGUAGUCCUAGCCGUAAACGAUGGGCACUAGAUGUUCCUGCGUUUAUGUGGGAGUGUCGAAGCUAACGCGUUAAGUGCCCCGCCUGGGGAGUACGGUCGCAAGGCUG